AACGAACGCUGGCGGCAUGCCUAACACAUGCAAGUCGAACGAGACCUUCGGGUCUAGUGGCGCACGGGUGCGUAACGCGUGGGAACCUGCCCUUAGGUUCGGAAUAACUCCCCGAAAGGGGUGCUAAUACCGGAUAAUGUCUUCGGACCAAAGAUUUAUCGCCUUUGGAUGGGCCCGCGUUGGAUUAGCUAGUUGGUAGGGUAAAAGCCUACCAAGGCGACGAUCCAUAGCUGGUCUGAGAGGAUGAUCAGCCACACUGGGACUGAGACACGGCCCAGACUCCUACGGGAGGCAGCAGUGGGGAAUAUUGGAAAAUGGGCGAAAGCCUGAUCCAGCAAUGCCGCGUGAGCGAUGAAGGCCUUAGGGUUGUAAAGCUCUUUUACCCGGGAUGAUAAUGACAGUACCGGGAGAAUAAGCUCCGGCUAACUCCGUG
rnacentral:rRNA from 1 species